rnacentral:lncRNA from 1 species
CAGCUGCUGCUGCGGCGGCUGAACAGAUGAUUUGUUUCAGUGAUCAGAUGAGUUAUUUACUUUAAGUCACAUACGAAUAUUAUAAUAUUCAGUUUUGUGAGCCAAAUUUAUUUUAUAUGCCAACAUCUAAGAAAGAAAGAGCCAGGCUACGGAGCGCGAUGUGUCAUUUACGCACAGAUGGUUCCGAUUUUAAUGCCAUUUUUGGAGUUUAUGUUGUGAUCUGUGCACACAACCCACCUUUGUCACGUGAGGUUUGAAUAUAUGCAACUUUAUGUGAGUGUCUUUAUUUGUGGAAAAGGGUGUUUGUCUUACCAGUGGGUCCAACAUUACACACACCAAAUCCAUCUGUGCUCAUAUGGGAGAGUGUGGAGGACACCCAAUGCAGCGCUUACAGUGACACUUGUUGAGGAGCUGCCUUCUGUCGCCAUCGUGUGGCAUUACUGUCUUCACACAACUCUCGAUCUCUUUGAUGUCCAUACUAAACCCCUGUUAAGUAUUAAAACAUCAUACAUAGAUGGAAACAUUAUUCUUGGGGGUAUUUUGGGUUCUCAGAUUUUGUCUUUUUGAGAUAUUUGAGCAGCAAGAACAAAUUGGUCUGACACCUCAGUUUUUACUGAACCCAGGGGCUGUUUGACCUCUAAAGACCCUCAUUGAAGACUCUCCAACCACAAGCUGUUUGUAAUCUUCUGUAACAAUAACUAAUGAAUGUUAACGUAGCUAAAUUAGGUCUUAACAUGGAUGUUAACAUCUGAUUAUAGACGUUUUCUGUGAAGGCAUCACUUUUGAGUUGUUUCAAGAAUACAAAGCUGUGUAAAAAGUGGCACCCGCAAGCUGUGUCUAACUUUAUUUCGGUAUUAUUCUUUUGCUUUUGAAGGACAGUCACUGUAUUUUGUCCUCCUUAAGCCAUCAGUGCAAAUAGUGCAAGAGAUGCUAUCAGUACAGGGGGGAGCUGCUGCAUCCAUGUGUGCCACCAUCUUGGGUGGAACAGUGACAUUAUAACAGCAGCUAAUGUAACAUUUCCUUAAGGCUAACUGCUGGGUCGUUUGAUGACAGUGAAGCUGUGUACAAAGUAACACCCAUUAGCAGUGUCUUACUUUUUAUCAGUAGAUAAACAGCCAAAACAAAGUGUUUUAGGCAGAGUAUGAAGAGUACGGACACCAGAGUAGGAUGAAUAAGCUUUGCUACAGUUGAACAUCAUGAAAACUAAAAAUUAGUGUUAAAGGUCUCUAAAGAAAUCACUUGAAAUCAUGUGCCCCAUGCAGAGGAGCUACAGUCUACAAACCUAUUCUAUACACUGUUGAUUUCCCUCAAUAAAGGCGUGAAAAGCUCCAGAAUAGUGUACAAUAAGAGUGGAGGUUGUCCUGGUCCCCAGAAUAAAAGGUAAUUCAGUCAAGUAAACCACGCCUGGUAAACAGACCGUAUUUAUCAAAAGUUUCUGAUGACUCAAAGUUUCAUACACCACAUUCAUACACUGAUAGCAGAGGAUGCUUUGGUGCUUGUCAGUAUUAACUAACCCCAUUUAUAUGAAAAUCCAAGUCUCACAAUGAGCCUGUAUAAGAGCAGGUCUGAAACACUUGUCACUUUUUGGCAUUCAAAUGUGAAAUAAAGCCUAACUAAUGUUUCAUUUCAAUCCACUUUUUUCCUCAAGUUUUUGAUUUUUCACCUAGAUAACAAUUUGUGGAUGUGUAAUACUUAUUAUUCAGGAAUACUGUUGUGAAAGCUAAAUAUAUUGUUGAACAUGAUGUCACAUUUAUUUAAAGUUUUUUCAAUGAGCAGAUGGUUUCAGGAGCUCUUAUUGUUGGAGGAUUUCUACAGUCCAGAAACUGAUACCACUGUUUUUGUUUUCCUUUUAGGCUGGGUUCAGAUUUGAUUGUUUUUCGAGCUGUUCAUUUAAAUCGUAUCAUAAAUGUCUGUUGUUGCAGCAAUAAAUACAUUUUAAUCGUA